ensembl:miRNA MIR30A microRNA mir-30a
GCGGCUGUAAACAUCCUCGACUGGAAGCUGUGAGGCUGCAGAAAGGCUUUCAGUCGGAUGUUUGCAGCUGC